rfam:Ciona savignyi cont_36638, whole genome shotgun sequence.
GUCUGUGAUGCCCUUAGAUGUUCGGGGCCGCACGCGCGCUACACUGACCGGAUCAGCGUGUGCUCUCCUUGGCCGACAGGUCCGGGAAACCCGUUGAACCCCGGUCGUGCUAGGGAUAGGGAAUUGCAAUUAUUUCCCUUGAACGAGGAAUUCCCAGUAAGCGCGAGUCAUUAGCUCGCGUUGAUUACGUCCCUGCCCUUUGUACACACCGCCCGUCGCUACUACCGAUUGAAUGGUUUAGUGAGGUCCUCCGAUUGGACCCGGUCCGGGCGGCGACGUCCGAGCCGGCGUCCGAGAAGACGAUCUAACUUGAUCAUUUAGAGGAAGUAAAAGUCGUAACAAGGUUUCCGUAGGUGAACCUGCGGAAGGAUCAUUA